rnacentral:lncRNA from 1 species
UUGUGCCCUUGGUGUCUUUCCGAUUGCGCAACAGAGCUGGAUGGAGUGGGGAUGGACAACUCUGGUCAAAGAUUUGGAACUGGGCAACACUGGAUCACCAAGAUGAGGUGGAAAAGAUGAACAACAGAGGUUUCAGCCUGGGUUGAGGCACACGUGGUGUGGCUGGUAAGAAGAACUUGCCUUGGCUUGUGCUUGUGUCAGGAGAGAACAUCUUGAACCUCCCCAGGUUUUUGUGUCCGUGCUGGGAUUAGAUCUGCACUCACUGCCGGAUACUGGACCAGGUUCCCAAAGGCUGGAGGAGUGUUGUGUACAACAAAC